UACGGCGAGUGAGCGGGAAGAGCUCAAAUUUGAAAUCUAGUAGCCUUCGGCUGCUCGAGUUGUAAUCUAGAGAAGUGUUUUCCGUGCCGGCCCAUGUACAAGUCCCUUGGAACAGGGCGUCAUAGAGGGUGAGAAUCCCGUCCUUGACAUGGACCCCCGGUGCUCUGUGAUACACUUUCAACGAGUCGAGUUGUUUGGGAAUGCAGCUCAAAAUGGGUGGUGAAUUCCAUCUAAAGCUAAAUAUUGGCGAGAGACCGAUAGCGAACAAGUACCGUGAGGGAAAGAUGAAAAGCACUUUGGAAAGAGAGUUAAACAGUACGUGAAAUUGUUGAAAGGGAAACGAUUGAAGUCAGUCAUGCUCUUUGGUAUUUAUAUCAUUGAGUGGGGUCAACAUCAGUUUUGAUCGAUGGAUAAAGGCACUAGGAAGGUAGCACUCUCGGGUGAACUUAUAGCCUAGCGUCAUAUACAUUGAUUGGGACUGAGGAACGCAGCAUGCCUUUAUGGCCGGGAUUCGUCCACGUACAUGCUUAGGAUGUUGACAUAAUGGCUUUAAACGACCCGUCUUGA
rnacentral:rRNA from 1 species